CACGCUCCUCUCUCCCCAACUGCAACGUCUUUUAAUGAGAUCUGGGAGACAAUUACCCAACAGGCAGGGAAAUGGCCGUUCCAUAUCGACCUGCAUCGAGGGCCUGCACCCGUGUUUUACCGGUUUAAAUCACCGGUUCCAUUUGCUGUGAAGAAGGAGAGACCUCUGCAAAUAAUUUGGUUCCCAGCGAAAAACUCCUGAACAUCUGGAUCUUAUGUUAUCAGUGAAAUAAGAUGAGCACACAACAAGCUACCAGAAAAAAAAGGGCCUUGACAGCCUGUCUCACCCAGAAGGUCCCACUCUCCAUUGGGCAUGUAUCCUGACACGUCUGCCUCCUUCAUCUGGAUGUCCAGCAGCCAGCCAUCAAACGUCCAGGAGCCAAACUUC